GAUAUAAAGCAACAAGGUCCAAAAGUGAACAAAAAGGUUGCAAAAGCCUCCUCAAAACUACUCUAGAAUAAUGGGGUCACAAAGAAACAUCAGAAGUAAAUCUUCCUAAGAUACUCCUGUAAAAUUCUCACUUCUUUGAUUUCUUCGAAGCCUGAGUAGAUUGAGAUGCAGCAGCAGGUUGAGCUGCCGAUGUCACAGGUGGUUGUUUCUCUCCAGGUCCCUGAGCCAAUCGUUCCUCCCUCCUAGCAAUUUUCCUUUCCCUGCUGGCUUUGUUCUUAGCCCUCUUGGCCUCGAAUUGAU
rnacentral:misc_RNA from 1 species